GAUUUCCAGAACGCGGUCGACAUCGAGAACAACCAUCAAUUGCCCUUCGAGCCGGUGCACGCCGCCCGCCAUUUUCGCCAUGCGCGGAUCGAGAUUGACCGGGUUCACCUCGCGGCUAUCGUCCGCANNGAGACCCUCGCCGAUGCUGUCGAUCAGCAGGCCGUAGGAUUCACCACGCAGGUCAACACCCACCGCCAUCGGGACCUUGCCGUCCUCGUUCUUGGGCAGGCCGAGACGUGCG
rnacentral:misc_RNA from 1 species